UCGGCUGAAGGUAGGCAAAUUCGUUUUGACCAGCACAAAGUAGCUGCCUGGCUGACCGUGUGAGACUCUGCUGUCCAAGUUGCUGUGUGACCAGCAAUCGUUACAACAACAAUCAUCACAAGUUUAAAGGUCCUGAUUGGGCGAAGCAAGAGAGAAUGGGAGCUUCCUCCUCCACCUAUGUGUUUAAUGACUCAGGCUCUGAAAUCGAGAUCUUAUGCCCUGUAGGGAGGCUGAAGCUGCAGGGCAUUGAGCUGGGUGCCAAAACAGAGGCAGGGGCUUCUACAAAUGAAGGGAUCAGCGGAAAGAUUACUAACCACAGCAAGAUAAACUUCGCAAAGGACGACCGAGUUUGUUUGCUGAGAUUGCCAGAUAAUGAUUUUGGCAAAAUUAAGGGGGGUGGACAUCUAUUCAUGACUGUUAUCGGGAGUCCUGGUCCUACUGAGGAAACAUUGUGCAUUAACUACCCUGUUCCCAGAAAAAAGGCGCUCUCUGUGGUAAAGAGGACUGUCAAGUUGGAAACGUACAACAGAGAAACAAAGAAAAAAUGGCAAAAUAUCAUAAAGCAAAAAGCAGGAAAAAAUCAAUUAACGUCUUAACGUCUAGUGUGCAGCCUGCUCCACUACCGCUGAACUGAUUCUCAGAUGAGCGCGAGUCUGAUCUGGAUCUCGCUCCUUAUUUGCACGAAAGUCCAGAGAGGACACAAGCUUUUGCUAUAAUUUUCUGGAUUGUUAUCUUGAGAUCACAUAAUAAUUAACUCAUUAUCUCAAGACAACAACUUUGUUAUCUUAAGGUCACAAGAUAAUUGACUCAUUAUCUCAAGAUAACAAUCUAGAAAAUUAGAACUAUCUCAUGUGUUGAUGAUUUAAAAAUAUUCGAGCACAAUAAUAGAAAAACAAUGUGUGUUGUGGUUCUUCUCUAAUUUACUUCCUUAAAGCUAAGAAUGUGUAAAAUGUCCCCGUCUGUUGUUCAUGUGUGUAAAACUAAUGGUCAGUGAGGCUGAAUGAUUUCUGUAAUUUGUAGUUUAUGUUUGUUUCAUAUAAUCUUUGAGCUUCCUGGACUUAAACUCUGCAAGUCUUGGUUGGAAACAAAAGGGUUCAAGUCUUGAAAACUGUCCAAUCAGGAUGUUUUUCUCCAUGGUGUCUUAGUAGAUUCAGCCAGUCAAGCUCUCCCACUGGUUAGGACUGAAGGCCUGGGGUGUCAGAUCAAAGCUGCUUUCAAGUGGUCUCAGUUUAAUCAGGAAAACUGGUUUCCCACCAGGAAUGAUGAAUCUGGGGGUGCAGGAGUUUUUGAUCCAGCCUCAACUGGAGGCUCUAUUUUCAUCAUAGUGGAGGAAAGAAGUACAGUAAUCAAAUAACACUGUACAAAUAGAAUAAACAGCAAUGGUGAAGGAAAUUUUAAUCACGCACAAUUAACUCUGUAAUACAGAUCAACACUGAUAGACGCCAACUAGCUAUUAAACUAUAACCAUUUCAGGUUCUCCAUGUUUUGUUUAUCUAUUAAAUAAACCACAUGAAAGAGAACGUCUGAUGAACGAGUUCCUCUCUGGAGAAAAUACCACUGAAUUAGACCUGAAAGCAGUUCAACUGCUCAUAUAAUGAGGAGCUGACAGUGGAACCAACCAGUCAUUUUUAAUUUACAGUGAGUGGAAAGAAAAACAUCACUUCUGAAAGUUCUAGAUAGGCCUUCUGUUCUAGAUACUCCACUGUCUGUAAAUACGAGCCAUAGUCUAAGCAGGUUUCAGUUAGUUGUUAGGAAUGGAAACAACUUCACUGGAAAAGUGACUGUAAAACUGAUUCAUAUAAGCUCAGAUAUAUGUUAAUGUCUUACAAGCUUCAAAUAAAACAUGGAAUGUAUUUUA